rnacentral:rRNA from 1 species
AUUGAACGCUGGCGGCAUGCCUUACACAUGCAAGUCGAACGGCAGCAUGAUCUUGCUUGCUAGAUUGAUGGCGAGUGGCGAACGGGUGAGUAAUACAUCGGAACGUGCCCUGUAGUGGGGGAUAACUAGUCGAAAGAUUAGCUACUACCGCAUACGACCUGAGGGUGAAAGUGGGGGACCGCAAGGCCUCUUGCUAUAGGCUCGGCCGAUGUCUGAUUAGCUAGUUGUUGAGGUAAAGGCUCACCAAGGCGACGAUCAGUAGCUGGUCUGAGAGGAUGAUCAGCCACACUGGGACUGAGACACGGCCCAGACUCCUACGGGAGGCAGCAGUGGGGAAUAUUGGACAAUGGGCGAAAGCCUGAUCCAGCAAUGCCGCGUGUGUGAAGAAGGCCUUCGGGUUGUAAAGCACUUUUGUCCGGAAAGAAAUGGAGCUGGUUAAUACCUGGGGUCGAUGACGGUACCGGAAGAAUAAGGACCGGCUAACUACGUG